UACGAAGGGUGCAAGCGUUACUCGGAAUUACUGGGCGUAAAGCGUGCGUAGGUGGUUUGUUAAGUCUGAUGUGAAAGCCCUGGGCUCAACCUGGGAAUUGCAUUGGAUACUGGCAGGCUAGAGUGCGGUAGAGGGUAGUGGAAUUCCCGGUGUAGCAGUGAAAUGCGUAGAUAUCGGGAGGAACACCAGUGGCGAAGGCGACUACCUGGCCUGUUCUUGACGCUGAGGCGCGAAAGCUAGGGGAGCAAACGGG
rnacentral:rRNA from 1 species